ensembl:lncRNA
AUGACGAGAUCAGGUGCCUUCAAACUCAGCAUUGUCUUCUUUCUCACCUUAAUCCUGUGUCUACCAGAGUUUUUUCCAGAAAUAUCUCAAGUUGAGUUUAUCUGUGAGCUGUUUGACCCUUGCACUCCUGAAAAUGAUGCACAGGUGUGUACUCCAGAUGACCCUCCAUGUGCGACAGAAAUGAUAAAUGCCAGCAGUCAACAUACACAUGGUGGAGGCUGGUAUCUGUGUAAGACUGAAAUGGAUCUGGAGCUUCUCUAUAACAACACCUCAGAGUCAGGAAAGCAAGUGAUGGUGGUACUGGCAAUGAAGGCAGGCAAUCUCUCUGGAUGGAACAUUAGUGUGUUUGCGUUUCUCAACAACACUGAUCUGUACACUGGACCCCAAAAUGACCAGAGACUCUUCUCCUGCAACCUCCCACCAGACGACAGCAAAUGUCCCGAUCUAAACAUAUCUAUGCAUGAAAACACCAGCACUCCAAUACAAGACACCUCGAUUUUAAAAACCAUAACUUCCGCAAACCCAGCCAACUAUUCGCUUAAAACAACUACACUAUCUUUCCAAGCAACAGCUUCUACGGAUGGGCUGAAGUGCCAAACAAGCAGCAGCAGUUUCCUCUUUUACUACCAAGAGCAAAAUGAAACAGCAAGAUCAGCUGCAUUACAAGCGACGCAAACAAGAAAAAAUGGCCGGUGGUGUGUGAUCACUUCGGUGUGGUUGGCUCUGGUACUGACUGUGCUUGUGGUGACACUAGUGAGUGUGGGCAGUCUGAUCUUCAAGAGCAGAAAACGUAGAAAGUCCAAUUUGGCCACAUUUGUGUCUGUUUCAGCCAGUGGACAUCAGUGCAAAGAGCUCAAGAAACAAAAAGGAAAUUUAAUGAGAGAUGCCCCUGAUGUGUCCAUAGCAAUGUGCAGCAUAAGUGUAGGCACAGAAAUGGUAUCAGACGGUGCUUCUGAGUUAUUGCCAUGUCCAAGGAACUUGGAGGACUACCAUGAAGGCUACCAUGAUGGUGGUGUAUUCUCUCAGAUCUCUUCAGUGGAGAACAGAACAGACGAACACCAUAUGAAAGUUGCUGAUCUCAAGAGAAGAUUGUCACCAGUCUAUGAGAUUACAGAGACCUCAUUAGAUGAAGAAGAGAAAAGUGAAGAUGAGGAAGAGGGGCAAUGUAAUGUCUCAAUAACAAAGGAAGAGUUUAUAAAGUCAAAUCAGCUCCAACAUCUGGCAGCACAGGGCCACUGUGAACCACCGACUUACCUGCAUCAUCGAAGCUUUUCUUGUUCCUGUCAUGAAGAAGAUGUGGAGCUUUAA